rnacentral:rRNA from 1 species
UACGAAGGGGGCUAGCGUUGCUCGGAAUCACUGGGCGUAAAGCGCACGUAGGCGGAUUCUUAAGUCGGUCGUGAAAUCCCUCGGCUCAACCGAGGAACGUCGAUCGAUACUGCUGUUCUUGAGGAUUGCAGAGGAGACUGGAAUUCCCGGUGUAGCGGUGAAAUGUGUAGAGAUCGGGAGGAACACCGGUGGCGAAGGCGGGUCUCUGGGCAAUUCCUGACGCUGAGGCGCGAAAGCGUGGGGAGCAAACGGG